ACUCGUUUGGUGGAAUUGGUAGACACAUCAGACUUAAAAUUUGAUUCUUUUUAGAGUAUCGGUUCAAGUCCGGUAACGAGUA
rnacentral:tRNA from 1 species